AAGCUCGUAGUUGAAUUUCGGGGUUAGUAGGUUGGUCAUGCCUCUGGUAUGUACUGGUCUCACUGAUUCCUCCUUCCUUAUGAACCGUAAUGCCAUUAAUUUGGUGUUGCGGGGAAUUUGGACUGUUACUUAGAAAAAAUUAGAGUGUUUAAAGCAAGCUAACGCUUGAAUACAUUAGCAUGGAAUAAUGAAAUAGGACGUCGAUCUUAUUUUGUUUGGUUUCUUAGGUAUUGUACGUAAUGAUUAAUAGGAGUAGUUGGG
rnacentral:rRNA from 1 species